rnacentral:rRNA from 1 species
GACGAACGCUGGCGGCGUGCUUAACACAUGCCAGUCGAACGGAAAGGCCCUGCUUUUGUGGGGUGCUCGAGUGGCGAACGGGUGAGUAACACGUGAGUAACCUGCCCUUGACUUUGGGAUAACUUCAGGAAACUGGGGCUAAUACCGGAUAGGAGCUCCUGCUGCAUGGUGGGGGUUGGAAAGUUUCGGCGGUUGGGGAUGGACUCUCGGCUUAUCAGCUUGUUGGUAGGGUAGUGGCUUACCAAGGCUUUGACGGGUAGCCGGCCUGAGAGGGUGACCGGCCACAUUGGGACUGAGAUACGGCCCAGACUCCUACGGGAGGCAGCAGUGGGGAAUAUUGCACAAUGGGCGGAAGCCUGAUGCAGCAACGCCGCGUGCGGGAUGACGGCCUUCGGGUUGUAAACCGCUUUCGCCUGUGACGAAGCGUGAGUGACGGUAAUGGGUAAAGAAGCACCGGCUAACUACGUG